rnacentral:rRNA from 1 species
AGUGAACGCUGGCGGUAGGCCUACCACAUGCAAGUCGAACGGCAGCACAGUAAGAGCUUGCUCUUACGGGUGGCGAGUGGCGGACGGGUGAGGAAUACAUCGGAAUCUACUUUUUCGUGGGGGAUAACGUAGGGAAACUUACGCUAAUACCGCAUACGACCUACGGGUGAAAGCAGGGGAUCUUCGGACCUUGCGCGAUUGAAUGAGCCGAUGUCGGAUUAGCUAGUUGGCGGGGUAAAGGCCCACCAAGGCGACGAUCCGUAGCUGGUCUGAGAGGAUGAUCAGCCACACUGGAACUGAGACACGGUCCAGACUCCUACGGGAGGCAGCAGUGGGGAAUAUUGGACAAUGGGCGCAAGCCUGAUCCAGCCAUACCGCGUGGGUGAAGAAGGCCUUCGGGUUGUAAAGCCCUUUUGUUGGGAAAGAAAAGCAGCAGGUUAAUACCCCGCUGUUCUGACGGUACCCAAAGAAUAAGCACCGGCUAACUUCGUG